rnacentral:rRNA from 1 species
AUUGAACGCUGGCGGCAGGCCUAACACAUGCAAGUCGAACGAUCCUUCGGGAUAGUGGCAGACGGGUGAGUAACGCGUGGGAACCUUCCCUGUGGUACGGAAUAGCUCCGGGAAACUGGAAUUAAUACCGUAUACGCCCUUCGGGGAAAGAUUUAUCGCCAUAGGAUGGGCCCGCGUCGGAUUAGCUUGUUGGUGAGGUAAUGGCUCACCAAGGCUACGAUCCGUAGCUGGUCUUAGAGGAUGAUCAGCCACACUGGGACUGAGACACGGCCCAGACUCCUACGGGAGGCAGCAGUGGGGAAUAUUGGACAAUGGGCGCAAGCCUGAUCCAGCCAUGCCGCGUGAGUGACGAAGGCCUUAGGGUUGUAAAGCUUCUUUUGGCGGGGACGAUAAUGACGGUACCCGCAGAAUAAGCCCCGGCUAACUUCGUG